AUUGAAUCUUCUUUCUCUGGAUACAUCCAAUAAACACAUAGAAGAUUAUCAUGGCCCCUGCACAAGGAUAAUGGGCACAAGUCGAGAAAUGGUCCAAAUUUCA
rnacentral:snRNA from 1 species